rnacentral:lncRNA from 1 species
CUGAGAGGGGGUUGAGAGGACAGAAAGGGCAGUUCGUCGACGCACACCUGCGAAAAUCGUCCAUGACACGUUGUAUAUUUUCUUUUCGCGUUCAGAGAGAGAGAGAGAGAGAGAGAUAAAUAGACGGAUGCGUUGCAGUUUCGUACUUGAUGUAUUACCGACAUUCGAAGAAAGCAAAGAAGAGAGGAAGAGGAAGAGGAAGAGAAA